AACGCGAAGAACCUUACCAAGGUUUGACAUGGCCGGAAAAGCAUCAGAGAUGGUGUGUCCUUCGGGGUCGGUCACAGGUGGUGCAUGGCUGUCGUCAGCUCGUGUCGUGAGAUGUUGGGUUAAGUCCCGCAACGAGCGCAACCCUCGUCCUAUGUUGCCAGCGGGUCAUGCCGGGGACUCAUGGGAGACUGCCGGGGUCAACUCGGAGGAAGGUGGGGAUGACGUCAAGUCAUCAUGCCCCUUAUGUCUUGGGCUGCAAACAUGCUACAAUGGCCGGUACAGAGGGCUGCGAACUCGCGAGAGUAAGCGAAUCCCGGAAAGCCGGUCUCAGUUCGGAUCGGGGUCUGCAACUCGGCCCCGUGAAGCUGGAGUCGCUAGUAAUCGCGGAUCAGCAACGCCGCGGUGAAUACGUUCCCGGGCCUUGUA
rnacentral:rRNA from 1 species